rnacentral:rRNA from 1 species
GUGUCAGCAGCCGCGGUAAUACGGAGGGUGCAAGCGUUAUCCGGAUUCACUGGGUUUAAAGGGUGCGUAGGAGGGCAGGUAAGUCAGUGGUGAAAUCCCCGAGCUUAACUUGGGAACUGCCGUUGAUACUAUCUGUCUUGAAUAUUGUGGAGGUAAGCGGAAUAUGUCAUGUAGCGGUGAAAUGCUUAGAUAUGACAUAGAACACCAAUUGCGAAGGCAGCUUACUACACAAUCAUUGACUCUGAUGCACGAAAGCGUGGGGAUCAAACAGGAUUAGAUACCCCCGUAGUCC